UUUAUAGAACUUUCAUGGGAAAGUAACUAAAACUAUGAAAACAUUAUCAGAAGGCUUUAAUUUUCAGGGCAACAUCAUGAAGCUAUGAAGAGGUGAGCACCAGAAACCUGGGUUUGGGUGGUAUCUCAGCAGGUAGGUUGUGUGUGCUCCCAGCUGAGCACAUCCACGGCCUGCCAAAGGACAGCAGGGCAUUACUACUCUUCCAGCUCUCAGCCCUCUUUCCCUGCAGACCUGAUUCAGUACACUAAGGCUCCAUCCCUAUUCAUGCUUCAGCUCAGAGGUUUCCUUUAGGAACAAAUUGCCUGAUUGUACCUCCUUACCACACAGGUUUGCAACACCGAACAGUCUCACAGCACACAAACCAGAGGGUUUCAGAAGAAACAGAUCAAAAGAUGUGCUCCAGAAGCACAUCCAGAAGCACUUAACACACCCCAACCUGAAUGUCCAGCUGGUGGCCACGUAACCUACAGACUGGCACCAGAGGUGAUCUGAAACAUCCCAAAACAGAGAAUGGGCAGCUUGUAUCCAACACCUAAAACCUUGGUCCAUGAUUUCAGUCUUGCUAAAUCACUCUAGUUACUAAUGCAGUAACAAAAAAAUACUUCCUAAUCUUCUUCCAAUUUUUUUUCUCUUUAUUGCUUUUAAGGAACUAAACUGGCUUGUAGAGGAAUCCAACAGCUGCCAACAGUAGAACAAGAGUGAAACUGAAUCCUCACAGACAUCUGCUGACAAGGUAAACUAGGGGCAAGGUGAAGCAGAGCUGGGACUACUUGUCAUCUAGAGUUCCAGAAGAACAGGGAGAUCCUCAGAGACUACAGAGGCUUCAUGACAGACACCAUGUUCAGAAAGCCCUAGACUGUUAAACUAAAACAUAAUUUUGGAAAUAAUCUCCCUUACCUCAUCACUUCUUUACCACCAGCCUUUCCACUGUCAUUCCUGGCUUUUCAGUAGCACAGUAGCUUCAUAUGUAACACAAAUGGGGCUGGACACUGGAUUAAUAAAUAAAUUCACCU